GCGGCGGCACGUAGGACGGAUCUCUUGGAUUUACCUGUAACGAGGAGCAGCGCACCCCAGGAGCCCCGGCAGCACCCCAGGAGCCCCGGCAGCACCCCAGGAGCCCCGGCAGCACCCCAGGAGCCCCGGCAGCACCCCAGGAGCCCCGGCAGCACCCCAGGAGCCCCGGCAGCACCCCAGGAGCCCCGGCAGCACCCCAGGAGCCCCGGCAGCACCCCAGGAGCCCCGGCAGCACCCCAGGAGCCCCGGCAGCACCCCAGGAGCCCCGGCAGCACCCCAGGAGCCCCGGCAGCACCCCAGGAGCCCCGGCAGCACCCCAGGAGCCCCGGCAGCACCCCAGGAGCCCCGGCAGCACCCCAGGAGCCCCGGCAGCACCCCAGGAGCCCCGGCAGCACCCCAGGAGCCCCGGCAGCACCCCAGGAGCCCCGGCAGCACCCCAGGAGCCCCGGCAGCACCCCAGGAGCCCCGGCAGCACCCCAGGAGCCCCGGCAGCACCCCAGGAGCCCCGGCAGCACCCCAGGAGCCCCGGCAGCACCCCAGGAGCCCCGGCAGCACCCCAGGAGCCCCGGCAGCACCCCAGGAGCCCCGGCAGCACCCCAGGAGCCCCGGCAGCACCCCAGGAGCCCCGGCAGCACCCCAGGAGCCCCGGCAGCACCCCAGGAGCCCCGGCAGCACCCCAGGAGCCCCGGCAGCACCCCAGGAGCCCCGGCAGCACCCCAGGAGCCCCGGCGCCACCCCAGGAGCCCCGGCGCCACCCCAGGAGCCCCGGCGCCACCCCAGGAGCCCCGGCGCCACCCCAGGAGCCCCGGCGCCACCCCAGGAGCCCCGGCGCGCCACCCUCCCCCGGAGGGGGAUCCCGGCGCGCCACCCUCCCCCGGAGGGGGAUCCCGGCGCGCCACCCUCCCCCGGAGGGGGAUCCCGGCGCGCCACCCUCCCCCGGAGGGGGAUCCCGGCGCGCCACCCUCCCCCGGAGGGGGAUCCCGGCGCGCCACCCUCCCCCGGAGGGGGAUCCCGGCGCGCCACCCUCCCCCGGAGGGGGAUCCCGGCGCGCCACCCUCCCCCGGAGGGGGAUCCCGGCGCGCCACCCUCCCCCGGAGGGGGAUCCCGGCGCGCCACCCUCCCCCGGAGGGGGAUCCCGGCGCGCCACCCUCCCCCGGAGGGGGAUCCCGGCGCGCCACCCUCCCCCGGAGGGGGAUCCCGGCGCGCCACCCUCCCCCGGAGGGGGAUCCCGGCGCGCCACCCUCCCCCGGAGGGGGAUCCCGGCGCGCCACCCUCCCCCGGAGGGGGAUCCCGGCGCGCCACCCUCCCCCGGAGGGGGAUCCCGGCGCGCCACCCUCCCCGGCAACAACCUGUUGCCAUGUUAUUGCGAUUUGUAUCAGUCACAAGCACACAACCCCUUCUAGUAUUAAUGAUGUUUAAAACGUUCUACACGUACGGCGGACCGCAUCCGUCGCAAGCACGCGCAUAUAACCCCCAAAUGCACCAUGAUGAGAAGCACAGCCACGCGUCAAAAAACUUUAAAAACAUCGUUAUCCAAUAUUAAAAACCACACCGAAAUUUACACAGGUGGCACGUUACCGCGUUAGUGUCACCCACUGUACACAAGGCGUGUCGUAUAUGUAGUAUAGGUAUUUGAUGAGGCGGAAGCAUAUCCCGCUUCCAGCGAACGGAAAUAAGGAUCAUCCGUUCCAGCAUUUAUUCAAAGGGGGCACAGAGGGUUCACAUUGUUUAGAGAGAGUUUUUCUUAGUAACCAUUCCAUACUUUGGCAGUAUUGGCCUACGAUUUGGGCGACGUUUCAGGCUGGUCUAUUCUCCGUCCACUUUUCCCCGGCUAUUCUGUCCCAGCAUAGGCUCUUGAAAUAAACAAUGUUUACCGAGUAAAA
rnacentral:lncRNA from 1 species